AGUGAACGCUGGCGGUAGGCCUAACACAUGCAAGUCGAACGGCAGCACCGUAAGAGCUUGCUCUUACGGGUGGCGAGUGGCGGACGGGUGAGGAAUACAUCGGAAUCUACUUUUUCGUGGGGGAUAACGUAGGGAAACUUACGCUAAUACCGCAUACGACCUACGGGUGAAAGCAGGGGAUCUUCGGACCUUGUGCUAUUGAAUGAGCCGAUGUCGGAUUAGCUAGUUGGCGGGGUAAAGGCCCACCAAGGCGACGAUCCGUAGCUGGUCUGAGAGGAUGAUCAGCCACACUGGAACUGAGACACGGUCCAGACUCCUACGGGAGGCAGCAGUGGGGAAUAUUGGACAAUGGGCGCAAGCAUGAUCCAGCCAUGCCGCGUGGGUGAAGAAGGCCUUCGGGUUGUAAAGCCCUUUUGUUGGGAAAGAAAAGCAGCAGGUUAAUACCCCGCUGUUCUGAAGGUACCCAAAGAAUAAGCACCGGCUAACUUCGUG
rnacentral:rRNA from 1 species